rnacentral:tRNA from 1 species
GGGCUAUUAGCUCAGUGGUAGAGCGCGCCCCUGAUAAUUGCGU